GCAGCGGGGAAACACUUGAGAUCGAGAUGAUGUCGCCAUUCGCAUGCAUGAUUUCAGAGCAAUGGCGACAGGUCAUAAUUGGGUUCUUUCUUCCACGGCUGAGAAUUAAGGCCGAUUUAAUCAAGUUAUCUGAACAUUUUCAGAGUCUUUGUCCCAUUUUUCACCCCGUCUGAUAGCCCCUCCUCCGUCCAAAAAAUAUAGUUAUGCAUUUUUACUUGGUAGGGUUCGACUUUGACUUACUGAUCGAGAAUUAUUCUCUUCGGUACUUCCUCCGUCUCAUAUUAGACGAUUCAAAUUUGUCUAAGUAUGAACGUAUCUAUAUACUACGAUGCAUCUAGAUACAUGUAAUAGAAAAUUAAUUAAUACGAGACGGAGUAAGUACAGUUUAUGUGAUUCGUCAGUUGGGAAAUGAUUCCAUCAACCAACCGAUCUAUCGAUUGGAUGGCCAGCAGCCAGAACCUGUGUGGACGAAAAUCUCUGGUUAGCCUCCAUAGCCUCCAAGAGAAAAGGAAGAAGAAAAAAGAAAAAGCAAGAGAGUAGGAAUUGAAGAAAGAAGAUUGCAUCAAGUAAAAGGAGUCCUUCCCUAACGAACUGAAGUUCAGAUCCACCUCCUUGUCUCCUUCAAGCUGUGUUUCCAUCAUGUUUUGCUGAGAUUGUUCCAUUCCUAGAUCUUCAGCACCAAAUCUUGUUGUAUGAGAACCUCUAGUGUUAUCUAGAGAAGAACUUGUGUAUCCCACAUCUGAAACAGUGGAAGAAGAUUUGGAUGGCUUUGGCAUGUGAUUUUUCGCCUUGCUUUGAGGGGGUUUUCACGUAAAAA